CCUGGUGGUUAUGGCGGAGCGGCUGCACCCGAUCCCAUUCCGAACUCGGCCGUGAAAACGCUCCAGCGCCAAUGGUACUUCGUCUCAAGACGCGGGAGAGUAGGUCGCUGCCAGGU
rnacentral:rRNA from 1 species